UACUAGUAUUUUUGGAUAAUGUUAAACCUGUCUUGUUGAUGUACCUUAGAGACAUUUAACAAUUGCUUAAAAAAAAAAAAAAGAAGACAUUUAACAAUAAUUCCACUUUUAUUAAUAGUUUUGUUUUUUUUUUACAACUUCUAAUUGCUAAAAAGUAUUUAACCGAAGUGAUCAAACAAUUUUGUAUUUAUUACAUGUAAAGGAAGAAAAAUGUCUUCAAUGUUGUAUUUUUUUUAUGCUUUGAGUAUAUUUCUUUCUCUUUUUCUCAUUGUAGCCGACCACGGUUCCAUUACUUGCAAUGAUCAUUCUUCUUGUACAAAAUUUCCGUGCAUUUAUCCGGAAAUUCCAAAGUGUGUUACUAAUAUAUGUAAGUGCGUCAUAAUAUUAUAGAGAAGUGCUAAAUAUUAUGAGAGAUUUCAUAAAGAAUUGCAACAAAUCAACAUAGCUUGUUCUUUUAAAAAGGAACAUUUUUUUUUUUGAAGACAAAAAGGAACAUAUUGUAACUCAGUUUCAUGGGUAGGUUGGGGUUGAAGUGAAUGUAAGGUGCAAGAGAAGACUUGUGGACUUAGAGAAUAAUGAAACUAAUAAGUCUUAUUUAAUUGUAUGUCCAUAAUUUGAUUAA